UACGUAGGGACCGAGCGUUGUCCGGAUUCAUUGGGCGUAAAGGGCUCGUAGGCGGCUGCUCAAGUCGAAUGUGAAAACUCGAGGCUCAACCUCGAGCCUGCAUUCGAUACUGGGCGGCUAGAGUCUGGUAGGGGGAUCUGGAAUUCCUGGUGUAGCGGUGGAAUGCGCAGAUAUCAGGAGGAACACCUGCGGCGAAGGCGGGUUGCUGGGCUGACACUGACGCUGAUGCGCGAAAGCCAGGGGAGCGAACGGG
rnacentral:rRNA from 1 species